UGAUGGAUGAGCAGUGCUUUCCAGGACUGUCCAACCUGAGAAUGCUUGAGUUUUGGUCAAUCUCAGGUUCGUCAGCCCAUGAAAAACUGUCUCGCUCAAAGCC
rnacentral:miRNA from 8 species